CAUCCCUAUGAUGAUGAUAAUAAAAAAAAUGUUAAAAGUAGUGACUGAUUACAUAUUGACGAAACAAUCAAUUCUGAGGGAUU
rfam:Arabis alpina cultivar Pajares chromosome 7, whole genome shotgun sequence.